ACUCAAAUGAAUAGACGGGGACUUGCACAAGCGGAGGAUCAUGUGGUUUAAUUCGAUGGUAAACGAAGAACCUUACCAGGGUUUGAAACCUAGCUGAAGACAUUAAGAAACUUUUGUCGUCUCACAAGGACAGCUAGGCAGGUGAUGCAUGGCCGUCGUCAGUUCGUGGUUUGAAUUGUUCCCUUAAGUGGGGUAACGAACGCAACCCUCGUUGUCUGUUAUAUAUGUCAGACGAGACUGCCCCCACAUUAGUAUGCAAAGAAAUUUGUUUAUUAAUGUGGGGGAGGAAGGCGAGGAUGACGCCAGGUCAGCAUGUCCCUUUGAUACCCUGGGCUACACACGUGAUACAAUGGAUAUUACAACGCGAUGCGACGCAGUAAUGCUGAGCAAAUCGUAAGAAAGAUAUCCUAAGUUCGGAUUGGGGUCUGCAACUCGACCCCAUGAAGCUGGAUUCGCUAGUAAUCACAGGUCAGCCAUACUGUGGUGAAUACGUUCUCAAGUCUUGUACACACCGCCCGU
rnacentral:rRNA from 1 species